UUGUUUGGUUGACGAGAAAAUGCAGGAAAACAUUUGUCAAUAUAAGCUCAAAGAUGGUGAAGCGCGCUGUAUUUCUUACAGGAGAAACGGAUGCAAGCUUCAGGCUAGCAGACAGGAAGAACUAUCAGUUAUUUGUGAAGGUUGCUGAUCAAAAUGACCAGAUUGUAGGAGAGCUUCCUGGUGGGGAUCCUGGCUAGCUGCAUCAGGCUUCAAGUAUCCAUCCUUCAUAUCUGGUAUACAUGAUUUGAUAUGCUUUCGAGUGGGGAUCCUAGCACUAUUGGCUGCCUAUUCAAACAUUCAUCCUCCAUCAUUUGGUAUCUCAUUUAUAUGUAAAAAUUUUCUUAGUCUUUUAUUUAGGUUGCAUGUCUACAUUCUUCGUAUGAACAGUAAAAUAUAAACAUCUCAUGAAUAAUAGAAAAAAUAUUGAUAGGUUCGCUUAUGAAAAAUGAUUUAC